GUUUUUUUACCUCUUUUUUUUUUUUUUAAUUGUUCGCGGAACAGCUGGAAAAAGAGAAAGAAAAAACAGAAAGGGUGACAAGACGCGAGAGAGUUUAGCAAGCGACGUGGCGUUGGUGAAGCUUGUUGGUUAGAGUGUAUAGUUUUGUCUCAGUACUGAAAUAUAAUAAGGUUAAAAAAA
rnacentral:ribozyme from 1 species